CCUAAGGUAGCGAAAUUCCUUGUCGGGUAAGUUCCGACCUGCACGAAUGGCGUAAUGAUGGCCAGGCUGUCUCCACCCGAGACUCAGUGAAAUUGAACUCGCUGUGAAGAUGCAGUGUACCCGCGGCAAGACGGAAAGACCCCGUGAACCUUUACUAUAGCUUGACACUGAACACUGGUCCUUGAUGUGUAGGAUAGGUGGGAGGCUUUGAAGCGUGGACGCCAGUCUGCGUGGAGCCAACCUUGAAAUACCACCCUUUAAUGGCUGGUGUUCUAACGUAGACCCGUGAUCCGGGUUGCGGACAGUGUCUGGUGGGUAGUUUGACUGGGGCGGUCUCCUCCCAAAGAGUAACGGAGGAGCACGAAGGUUAGCUAAUCCUGGUCGGACAUCAGGAGGUUAGUGCAAUGGCAUAAGCUAGCUUGACUGCGAGAGUGACGGCUCGAGCAGGUGCGAAAGCAGGUCAUAGUGAUCCGGUGGUUCUGAAUGGAAGGGCCAUCGCUCAACGGAUAAAAGGUACUCCGGGGAUAACAGGCUGAUACCGCCCAAGAGUUCAUAUCGACGGCGGUGUUUGGCACCUCGAUGUCGGCUCAUCACAUCCUGGGGCUGAAGUAGGUCCCAAGGGUAUGGCUGUUCGCCAUUUAAAGUGGUACGCGAGCUGGGUUUAGAACGUCGUGAGACAGUUCGGUCCCUAUCUGCCGUGGGCGCUGGAGAAUUGAGGGGGGCUGCUCCUAGUACGAGAGGACCGGAGUGGACGCAUCACUGGUGUUCGGGUUGUCAUGCCAAUGGCAUUGCCCGGUAGCUAAAUGCGGAAGAGAUAAGUGCUGAAAGCAUCUAAGCACGAAACUUGCCCCGAGAUGAGUUCUCCCUGACCCUUUAAGGGUCCUGAAGGAACGUUAAAGACUAUGACGUUGAUAGGUCGGGUGUGUAAGCGCAGCGAUGCGUUGAGCUAACCGAUACUAAUGAACCGUGAGGCUUAACCUUACAACGCCGAAGGUGUUU
rnacentral:rRNA from 1 species